rnacentral:rRNA from 1 species
GGGAGGCAGCAGUAAGGAAUUUUGCGCAAUGGGGGAAACCCUGACGCAGCAACGCCGCGUGGAGGAUGAAGUCCCUUGGGACGUAAACUCCUUUCGAUCGGGACGAUAAUGACGGUACCGGAAGAAGAAGCCCCGGCUAACUUCGUGCCAGCAGCCGCGGUAAUACGAGGGGGGCAAGCGUUGUUCGGAAUUAUUGGGCGUAAAGGGCGCGUAGGCGGUGUCGCAAGCCCGUGGUGAAAUCUCUGGGCUCAACUCAGAGUCUGCCGCGGAAACUGCGGUGCUAGAGUGUGGGAGAGGUGAGUGGAAUUCCCGGUGUAGCGGUGAACUGCGUAGAUAUCGGGAGGAACACCUGUGGCGAAAGCGGCUCACUGGACCACAACUGACGCUGAUGCGCGAAAGCUAGGGGAGCAAACAGGAUUAGAUACCCUGGUAGU